UUGCGGACAGUGUCUGGUGGGUAGUUUGACUGGGGCGGUCUCCUCCUAAAGAGUAACGGAGGAGCACGAAGGUUGGCUAAUCCUGGUCGGACAUCAGGAGGUUAGUGCAAUGGCAUAAGCCAGCUUGACUGCGAGCGUGACGGCGCGAGCAGGUGCGAAAGCAGGUCAUAGUGAUCCGGUGGUUCUGAAUGGAAGGGCCAUCGCUCAACGGAUAAAAGGUACUCCGGGGAUAACAGGCUGAUACCGCCCAAGAGUUCAUAUCGACGGCGGUGUUUGGCACCUCGAUGUCGGCUCAUCACAUCCUGGGGCUGAAGUAGGUCCCAAGGGUAUGGCUGUUCGCCAUUUAAAGUGGUACGCGAGCUGGGUUUAGAACGUCGUGAGACAGUUCGGUCCCUAUCUGCCGUGGGCGCUGGAGAACUGAGGGGGGCUGCUCCUAGUACGAGAGGACCGGAGUGGACGCAUCACUGGUGUUCGGGUUGUCAUGCCAAUGGCACUGCCCGGUAGCUAAAUGCGGAAGAGAUAAGUGCUGAAAGCAUCUAAGCACGAAACUUGCCCCGAGAUGAGUUCUCCCUGAGACUUAGAGUCUCCUGAAGGAACGUUGAAGACGACGACGUUGAUAGGCCGGGUGUGUAAGCGCAGCGAUGCGUUGAGCUAACCGGUACUAAUGAACCGUGAGGCUUAACCUU
rnacentral:rRNA from 1 species